UGCUCUUAUAUUUGAUGCACAUGCUGU
rnacentral:sRNA from 1 species